UACGUAGGGUGCGAGCGUUAAUCGGAAUUACUGGGCGUAAAGCGUGCGCAGGCGGUUUUGUAAGCCCGAUGUGAAAUCCCCGGGCUCAACCUGGGAAUGGCAUUUGGGACUGCAAGGCUGGAGUACGGCAGAGGAGACUGGAAUUCCUGGUGUAGCAGUGAAAUGCGUAGAGAUCAGGAGGAAUACCGAUGGCGAAGGCAGGUCUCUGGGCUGAUACUGACGCUCAUGCACGAAAGCGUGGGGAGCAAACAGG
rnacentral:rRNA from 1 species